GAGUUUGAUCUUGGCUCAGAACGAACGUUAGCGGCGCGCCUAACACAUGCAAGUCGAGCGAGAAAGGGAGCAAUCCCCGGUACAGCGGCGCACGGGUGAGUAACACGUAGGUAAUCUGCCUCCGAGUGGGGGAUAACCUUCCGAAAGGAGGGCUAAUACCGCAUGAGACCACGCCUUCGAGAGGAGGAGGGGUCAAAGCCGGCCACUAUACAUAAGCUGGCGCUUGGAGAUGAGCCUGCGGCCCAUCAGCUUGUUGGUAGGGUAACGGCCUACCAAGGCAAAGACGGGUAGCUGGUCUGAGAGGAUGAUCAGCCACACUGGAACUGAGACACGGUCCAGACUCCUACGGGAGGCAGCAGUGGGGAAUCUUGCGCAAUGGGCGAAAGCCUGACGCAGCGACGCCGCGUGGGUGAUGAAGGCCUUC
rnacentral:rRNA from 1 species